ACGGAAGGCAGCAGUGGGGAAUAUUGGGCAAUGGGCGAAAGCCUGACCUAGCGACGCCGCGUGAGCGAAGAAGGUCUUCGGAUUGUAAAGCUCUGUUGACAGGGACGAAGAAGUGACGGUACCUGUCGAGGAAGCCACGGCUAACUACGUGCCAGCAGCCGCGGUAAUACGUAGGUGGCAAGCGUUAUCCGGAUUUACUGGGUGUAAAGGGUGUGUAGGCGGGGGAGCAAGUCAGAUGUGAAAUCUAUGGGCUCAACUCAUAGACUGCGUCUGAAACUGUUCUUCUUGAGUGUCGGAGGGGUAAUCGGAAUUCCUGGUGUAGCGGUGAAAUGCGUAGAUAUCAGGAGGAACACCGGUGGCGAAGGCGGAUUACUGGACGACAACUGACGCUGAGACACGAAAGCGUGGGGAGCAAACAGGAUUAGAUACCCUGGUA
rnacentral:rRNA from 1 species